UCAGAAACAGUACUCUAUUCCACAGAGUUACAGAAUAUGGAUUCCAAUUCAAGUCGUAGAUGUCAUAGGACUUCUAAUAUGGAAGAAUCAUCUCGUUGGCCUGUUCAAUAUAUCAGCCCCAUCAAUUGAACACGUUGGUUGUAAAGAUUAAAAUAGUCAAAUACUCAAAAUCUAUAAAAGAUUCCUUUGCAGAUUUCUUCACAUAUGUGAAUGCCCAAGGCUCAGACUUUGUAUUUCUCAGGAUUUCAAAUAAAAUCAUAUUAUAUACUA